GAUGAACGCUGGCGGCGUGCCUAAUACAUGCAAGUCGAGCGAACGGACGAGAAGCUUGCUUCUCUGAUGUUAGCGGCGGACGGGUGAGUAACACGUGGAUAACCUACCUAUAAGACUGGGAUAACUUCGGGAAACCGGAGCUAAUACCGGAUAAUAUUUUGAACCGCAUGGUUCAAAAGUGAAAGACGGUCUUGCUGUCACUUAUAGAUGGAUCCGCGCUGCAUUAGCAAGUUGGUAAGGUAACGGCUUACCAAGGCAACGAUGCAUAGCCGACCUGAGAGGGUGACCGGCCACACUGGAACUGAGACACGGUCCAGACUCCUACGGGAGGCAGCAGUAGGGAAUCUUCCGCAAUGGGCGAAAGCCUGACGGAGCAACGCCGCGUGAGUGAUGAAGGUCUUCGGAUCGUAAAACUCUGUUAUUAGGGAAGAACAUAUGUGUAAGUAACUGUGCACAUCUUGACGGUACCUAAUCAGAAAGCCACGGCUAACUACGUG
rnacentral:rRNA from 1 species